rnacentral:misc_RNA from 1 species
GAUGAAGAACGUAGCGAAAUGCGAUAAGUAGUGUGAAUUGCAGAAUUCAGUGAAUCAUCGAAUCUUUGAACGCACAUUGCGCCCUUUGGUAUUCCUUAGGGCAUGCCUGUUCGAGCGUCAUUUCAACCCUCAAGCCCUGCUUGGUGUUGGGGUCCCACGGCCGCCGUGGGCCCUGAAAGGAAGUGGCGGGCUCGCUACAACUCCGAGCGUAGUAAUUCAUUAUCUCGCUUAGGGCGUUGGGCGGCGCUCCUGCCGUUAAAGAACCAUCUUUAACUCAAGGUUGACCUCGGAUCAGGUAGGAAUACCCGCUGAACUUAAGCAUAUCAAUAAGCGGAGGA